GACGAACGCUGGCGGCGUGCUUAACACAUGCAAGUCGAACGGAAAGGCCCUGCUUUUGUGGGGUGCUCGAGUGGCGAACGGGUGAGUAACACGUGAGUAACCUGCCCUUGACUUUGGGAUAACUUCAGGAAACUGGGGCUAAUACCGGAUAGGAGCUCCUGCUGCAUGGUGGGGGUUGGAAAGUUUCGGCGGUUGGGGAUGGACUCGCGGCUUAUCAGCUUGUUGGUGGGGUAGUGGCUUACCAAGGCUUUGACGGGUAGCCGGCCUGGGAGGGUGACCGGCCACAUUGGGACUGAGAUACGGCCCAGACUCCUACGGGAGGCAGCAGUGGGGAAUAUUGCACAGUGGGCGGAAGCCUGAUGCAGCAACGCCGCGUGCGGGAUGACGGCCUUCGGGUUGUAAACCGCUUUCGCCUGUGACGAAGCGUGAGUGACGGUAAUGGGUAAAGAAGCACCGGCUAACUACGUG
rnacentral:rRNA from 1 species